GCCCAGUCAUGGUGGUUCACGCUUAUAAUCCCAGCACUUUGGGAGGCUGAGAUGAAUGGAUCACCUUGGGUCAGGAGUUCCAGACCAGCCUGACCAACAUGGCAAAACCCCAUCUCUACUAAAAAUACAAAAAA